rnacentral:lncRNA from 1 species
GUCUUUGCAUUUCUGUUUAUGGUUUUUAUUCGUUAGAGAUUCAGCAAAUUGAAACUAGUUGCAGUUUCUGAGUUCAAUUCGAUCCUACUUAAGCAGUGAAAAAAACUUAGUUCUAUAUUGUUUGGCAAGCAAGAAAGUAAAGGAAAAUGAAAGAGAACUCUAAAGAACCUUUUUUAUUAUACUCAGAUGUCUCAACUUAAUGAAUACUGAUUGACAUUUAUACUAAGCUACAAUCUUCACUACACACACGAGUUUGUUACAUCACAUAACCAUUUGCUGCAUAACUAACUUUACACAUCAGCUCAACCAGCUAACUAACUUUGACAGGUCAGCUCAGUGAGUUGAUCUGCUACAACCAGCUACACAGCAACAGCAUGCUCUGCUCCAGCUAUACAGCAACAUCAUGCUCUGCUCCAGCUUUGACAGGUCAGCUCAAUGAGUUGAUCUGCUACAACCAGCUACACAGCAACAGCAUGCUCUGCUCCAGCUAUACAGCAACAUCAUGCUCUGCUCCAGCUUUAUUCAAUUCACUAACAUCCCCCCUCAAGCUGAAAUGUUUAGGAUGAACAUUCAGCUUGCUUCUGAAGUAAUUGAAUUGUUUGAAAGUAAGAGCCUUAGUUAACACAUCUGCUGUUUAAUCUGGACUAGGCACAUAGCAUACUGCAACCUCUUUAGCAGUGACCUUAUCUCGGAUAAAAUGUAUAUCCAAUUCAACAUGCUUAGUCUUAGCAUGAUAAACUGGAUUAUAAGCUAAAGCAAUUGCUCAUUGAUUAUCACACCACAUCAUAGGAGUGGAGCUUAAUGUGAUACUAAGUUCACCAAGUAAGGAUUUAAUUCAGGUAACCUCUGAAGCAGCAUGAGCAAGAGAUCUAUACUCAGCUUCUGUGCUGGAUCUGGAAACAACAACUUGUUUCUUUGACGACCAGGAAACAAGAUUAGGACCUAAAUAAACAGCAAAGCCAACCAUUGACUUCCUAUCAUCAUGAUCACAAGCCCAAUCAGAAUCUGAAAAACAAUGUAAUUGCAGAGCUCCUUGAUUGUAGAAAUGCAGCCCCAGAUGGAUAGUGCCUUUUAAGUACCUCAAUAACCUUUUACAUGCUUCCCAAUGUUGAGUUCUAGGACUGGAAAGGAACUGACUUAACUUGUUUACAGAGAAGACAAUGUCAGGUCUGGUAAGAGUAACAUAUUGAAGAGCUCCUAUAACACUUCGAUAUUGAGAAACAUUUUCAAGUGGCUCUCCUGAGUCUUUGGUGAGAUAAAAAUCUGUAAACAUUGGAGUUGGCACAGGACUGCAGUCUGUCAUGCCAUGUUUAUCCAGAAUAUCAGCAAUGUACUUUGCUUGUGUCAAGGAAACCCCUUGUGAAGAUUUGCUGACUUCAAUCCCUAGAAAAUAGUGAAGUUCCCCCAGGUCUUUUAAAGCAAAAGCUUGAUGCAUAUGCUGGAUAACUUGUUGAAUUAUGGAUGGACUGGAACCAGUGAUGAUAAUAUCAUCAACAUAGACCAAAACAACAGUUAGAUGACUACUGUUCCAGGCAUAAAAGAGAGAGUUAUCAGACCUGGAAUGCUGAAAAUGCCACUUGGAGAUCAUUGCAUCCUUAAACCUAUCAAACUAGGCUCUAGGAGCCUGUUUUAAGCCAUACAAAGCCUUAUUUAGCUUGCAGAUAUGAUUAGGUUUAGUUGAAUCAACAAAACCUUGAGGUUGAGCCAUGUACACAUCUUCAAUUAAAAUGCCAUUUAGAAAGGCAUUGUUAACAUCCACCUGCCUUACAACCCAGUGACUCAAUACUGCUAAGCUAAGAAUAACUCUAACAGUGGAGGACUUAACCACUGGACUGAAGGUUUCUGUGUAGUCAAUCCCAUGUGUCUGAUGAAACCCUUUAGCCACAAGCCUGGCUUUAUACCUUGAAACUGAACCAUCUGAGUUAUACUUUACUCGAAAUACCCACUUGUUGCCAACUAUCUUCACUGGAGUAGCAGGUAAGACUAAAUCCCAGGUGUGAUUGGUUUUAAGAGCUAGAUACUCUUCUUGCAUAGCUUUAUACCACAUAGGAUCAGAAAGUGCUUUGGAAACAGAGGUUGGUUCUGACUUUUGAGCUAGUAAAGCUGACAAGUAGAUCUUGGGCUUGAAGAUACCUGCUUUUGACCUGGUUAUCAUUGGAUGACCAGAUGAUGCAGGUUGUGACAAGGUAUGUGGAGGUGAAUGAUGGGAUGGUGAAGAAGGAGAAGAAGAAGUGGAAUUGAAAUUAUCAGAAAAGUAAACUGGAGUAGAAUUUGGGAAGGAAAUAGAAGCAUGUGACUGAGAAUCAUUAAGAAUAUAUUCUGAUGAUGCUGCUAAAGGUGCUUGUAACUGAGUAACAAAAGGAGUAGAAGAAUUAAAAGAAGACUCAGAAUGAGUUGAUGACUGACAGUUUGAAGAAACUGAAGAAAAAUCUGUUCCUAACUCAUAAGGAAAAGAACUUUCAUAAAAGGUUACAUGAUUUGAAAUAUAGACCCUCCCAGAAGAGUGAAGACACUGAUAUCCCUUGUGUUGUGAACUGUAGCCAAUGAAUAUACAUCUAGCUGUUCUGAAAUCAAACUUAUGUCUAUUGUAUGGUCUGAGUGUUGGAUAACAAGCACAGCCGAAAAUUUUAAGUGUUGAAUAAUCUGGUUGGGAAUGAAACAACUUUUGAAAAGGAGAAAUGCUGUUUAGAACUGGAGUUGGAAGUCUGUUUAUCAAGUAGACAGCUGUAUGGAAUGCAUUCCACCAAAAUUUGAGUGGUAAAUGUGCUUGAGCUAAUAAAGUCAGUCCUACAUCAACUAUGUGUCUAUGUUUCCUCUCAAUUUUUCCAUUUUGAUGAUGAAUGUGGGGGCAAGGAUGUCGAAAAUGGAUGCCAGAAGUAGUGAGUAAUGAUGAAAAUGUUCUGAACUCCCCUCCCCAGUCAGUUUGGACAAUUUUGAUGGAAAGUUGAAGAUGCUUCUCAAUGAAUAUUUUGAAAUUGGUAAAAACUUCAAGAGCAUCAGAUUUUGCUGAUAAGGGAAAAAUCCAGGUAAACCUACUGUAAUCAUCUAGGAUUGACAAGUAGUAAUUAUAUCCUUGGGUAGAACAAACAUGAGAAGGGCCCCAAAGAUCUGCAUAUAUCAGUUGUAAAGGUGUUGAAGUUUUUGUUUCUACUGAAUCAAAAUGCAGCAUGUGAUUUUUACCAUAUUGGCAUGCUGAACAAAAUUUCAAACUGUCAACUUUAUUAAAAGCAGUAGAGUUGUUACAAGCUUUGAGAAUGGUUUUGAGAGUAUAAGAUGCUGGGUGUCCUAAUCUUCUAUGAAGAAGAUUUACAUCAAUAGAACCCUUUGCAACAACUGACAGACAUGACUUUUUAUUCAACUCAUAAGAGCUAACAGUAGAGAGCUGAGCAGAAUUAAAAACAGGAGAACAAGCAAAAAGAGACUGAAUUUUGUUUUGACCAACUGAACUGAGAAAGACUGAAUGAACAGCAGCAUGAGAAGAGACUCUAUACAAGCCACCUUUAGCAACACCUUCAAGUAAAAUUUUCCAUGUGUUCCUGGCCUUUAUAAAACACAAAUCACCAAGAAAUUCAACAGUAACUGGAUUGUCAGCCAACAAUUUUGAGAUGCUAAGCAAAUUCUUAGUAAUAAAAGGGACAUGAAGAACAUGGUUAAGAAAUAAGGAUUGAGAAGCUGAAGUAUUUAGCACAACUGACCCUACAUGUGUAAUAGCUAAUGCAUUUCCAUCUCCAACAAAUAACCUUUCAGUACCAGUGUAAACUUUUGAAUCCAGAAGCUUACCUAGAUCAUUGGUAAUAUGAUUUGUUGCUCCACUAUCAAUAUACCAGGAAGGAUCUUCAAUGUGUUCAGGUGGAAGUGAAGAAGACAUAGCAGAGGAGGAGGAAGCACUUGACUGUUCCAGAUUAUUAUGUCCUAGACCAGAAACAAAAUUAGAUGAUCUAGGGUUGAAUGAGAAAUAAGCAGAUGGGUUGCUCUCUGGAUAUACUAUAUUUCCUUGAUAGCCAAAACCCCUGGGGGCAUUACCAAAACCAACAUUUUGUCCAAAACCAGCAUUUGAACCAAAACCUCCAAAACCUCUUCCACUAUUACCAUUAAAGGCUCUUCCUCGACCAUAUUGCCCUUGAUUAAAACCUCUGCCACCAUUCAUAUUACCUCUACCAUGGUUCCUCUGUGGAACAAAAGAUGAGUUGUACCUAUUUCUGCAUUUAUAGGCUGCAUGACCAGGUAUGAAGCAAAUUUGGCAAACAACUUCAGAGAAAUUACUAUUAUUAUUAAACUGACCAUAUCCAUAUCCAGAAUUAUUACCACCUCCAGAGUUAUUUCCAUACUGUUUCUGAAAAUUUCCAUUAUUCUUUCCAACAUAUGAGUUCUUCUUAACAAUAUUUGCUGUCAUGUUAUGCAUCACAUCACCAGCAAUUUUUCCUUUCUUUUGCUCAACUCUAUUUUCAUGAUUCAACAGCAAAGAAUAUAGUUCAUCUAAUGUUAUCUUUUCACCUCGAGCUAACACAGCAGUGACUAAAGAUUCAUAAUCUGAUGAAUCAAGACCAGUUAAUACAUGCAUCACAAGAUCAUUUAACUCAACAGGUUUUCCAGCUAGAGCUAAAGUAUCAGCUAUACGUUUUACUUUUACAAAGUAAUCAGACAUAUGCAUUGCACCUUUCUUAAUAGUUUGAAUCUGCAUUCUAAGUGUUUGAAUUCUAGCUUGUGAUUGAGAGAUAAACAUACUAGCAAGAGUCUCCCAAAGCUGUUUUGAGGUUGUUGAGUCAAUCACAGUAGCAAGCAGAUUUUGUUGUAUCGAUGACAUCAUCCAACUCAGCAGAAGUUGAUCAGCCUUCAUCCAAGCUACGAACUCUGGAUUAACAGAUCUGGAUCCAGAUUCAGUAACAGAUCUGGAUCCAGAUUCAGUUAAGAUUUCAGCUCCAUUGUUGUUGCCAGAAAAAAGAAACUGCUCAGGACAUUCUCGAUCACCAUUGACGAAACCUUCCAAACCAUUUCCUUUGAUCGAAGCUAGAAUUUGUGUGCGCCACAAAAUAUAGUUGUUUUGAUCUAGCUUUACAGGCGUACCAAAACUAAAAGAGUUGUUGUUUUGAACUGUAUUUGUCAUUUAUGGCUCUGAUACCAUGAAAGAAACUUAGUUCUAUAUUGUUUGGCAAGCAAGAAAGUAAAGGAAAAUGAAAGAGAACUCUAAAGAACCUUUUUUAUUAUACUCAGAUGUCUCAACUUAAUGAAUACUGAUUGACAUUUAUACUAAGCUACAAUCUUCACAACACACACGAGUUUGUUACAUCACAUAACCAUUUGCUGCAUAACUAACUUUACACAUCAGCUCAACCAGCUAACUAACUUUGACAGGUCAGCUCAGUGAGUUGAUCUGCUACAACCAGCUACAUAGCAACAGCAUGCUAUGCUCCAGCUUUAUCCGCUUUGCUCUGCUCUGCUCCAGCUUUGACAGGUUAGCUCAGUGAGUUGAUCUGCUACAACCAGCUACACAGCAACAGCAUGCUCUGCUCCAGCUAUACAGCAACAUCAUGCUCUGCUCCAGCUUUAUCCAAUUCACUAACAGGCAGGAGUCACGGGAGGAAUGGACUGAGGAGCCAAUGCUUGACUUGGUGCCUUCUUGUGCAUUGAUGCUUAUUUUAAACUCAAAGUGGGGAUUCUUUCAGCUCAGUUCAUUUCUUGUUGUUCUUUUGUUAUGGACUUAAAUUAAUGGUUUCAGCUUACUCUUUCGUCUUUAUAAUGCUUAGUGGGAUUGCUUGGGUUUAUCACUCUCUCUGUUGCUUUUCAUGUUUGCUUUAUACCUCAUUUCAUUCUCACGCAAGAUUUUUCAUUUGCGUCAUGGAAAAAUCUGCAAUUGGUGUGAAGUUAAGCAAAAGUGAUGCAUCCUAUGCAGAAGACUAGAUGCCGGCCCUGAAAUCAAUUAAAGCCAAAUUUUGGCUUAUUGGUUUAUCUCUUUCUGGCCUUGAUGUUUCCAAGUAGGCACCUAGUAACCAGGUCUUGGAGCACAAGACGUUUAGAAUGAUGUUUCCUUGACAAUUUCUAAGAGUUUGUUGUCAGCACCCUUUUCUAUUCAAGAGCAUAAAUGCACCUUUGAACAUACGGGCGUUAGUUGAUUGAAUUUCCAUCUAAAGCACCUCAGUGUGUGACAAUGAACAGAUUUUAUCCCUCUGCAAUUGGGAGCUGGGUUGCGAUUUUCAGCAUGCCUCUUUCCUUUUCUGUAUUAAUACUCAAUAAUGGAGGUUUUACUGGUAUAUCUUUCAAACUGCCGCGGCUUGUAUAGAGAUAUUAAACAUAAUACAUAUACAUAUGCUAACACUUGGCAUUCCUUGGUAAAUCAAACAGUUUUUGCUAGGAACGAUACUUGUUUGAUACCUUGUUCUGAAAAGAGAAUUAAAUGCUAUAUAUCUUUUAUUUUUAUUUUUCUGGUAAUAACA